rnacentral:rRNA from 1 species
CGGAGGUACUCGAGUGGCGAACGGGUGAGUAACACGUGGGUGAUCUGCCCUGCACUCUGGGAUAAGCCUGGGAAACCGGGUCUAAUACCGGAUAGGACCAUGCUUUAGUGUGUGUGGUGGAAAGUUUUUUCGGUGUAGGAUGAGCCCGCGGCCUAUCAGCUUGUUGGUGGGGUAAUGGCCUACCAAGGCGGCGACGGGUAGCCGGACUGAGAGGUUGGUCGGCCACAUUGGGACUGAGAUACGGCCCAG